GAUGAACGCUAGCGGCAGGCCUAACACAUGCAAGUCGAGGGGUAACUAGAGUGAUAGCAAUAUUACUUUGGCUAGACCGGCGCACGGGUGCGUAACACGUAUGCAACCUACCUUAUACUGGGGAAUAACUUCGAGAAAUCGGCGCUAAUACCCCAUAACAUUGCGAAGAGGCAUCUCUUUGCAAUUAAAGCUCCGGCGGUAUAAGAUGGGCAUGCGUCCAAUUAGCUAGUUGGUGAGGUAACGGCUCACCAAGGCUACGAUGGGUAGGGGUUCUGAAAGCAUGAUCCACCACACUGGUACUGAUGCACGGACCAGACUCCUACGGGAGGCAGCAGUGAGGAAUAUUGCGCAAUGGACGAAAGUCUGACGCAGCCAUGCCGCGUGCAGGAUGACGGCCCUAUGGGUUGUAAACUGCUUUUGUACGGGAAUAAACCCUUCUACGUGUAGGAGGCUGAAGGUACCGUAAGAAUAAGCACCGGCUAACUCCGUGCCAGCAGCCGCUGUAA
rnacentral:rRNA from 1 species